GGGCGGGUAGCGUAGUGGUCAGCGCAUUCCCUGAGCGUUUUCAUGUUUCCUAAGCGGAUUCUAGCGUUGAUUUCCAAUUAUAUGUUACAAGCGUUCAUUGAAAGACCUGGGUUCAAAUCCCAGCCCGUCCA